rnacentral:rRNA from 1 species
AACGUAGGAGUCAAGCGUUAUCCGAAUUUACUGGGGGUAAAGCGCGUGCAGGCGGUUUGGUAAGUUGGAUGUGAAAGCUCCCGGCUCAACUGGGAGAUGUCGUUCAAAACUGCCGGACUAGAGGACGGUAGAGGGAGGUGGAAUUCCCGGUGUAGUGGUGAAAUGCGUAGAUAUCGGGAGGAACACCAGUGGCGAAGGCGGCCUCCUGGGCCGAACCUGACGCUAAGACGCGAAAGCUAGGGGAGCGAACGGG